ACUAUUUUGGCAGAAAAAUUAAUGCAAUAAAUUUAGAAUUUAUUAAUGUAAUAUAAUAUUACAAAUAGUA
rnacentral:tRNA from 1 species